GACGAACGCUGGCGGCGUGCCUAAUACAUGCAAGUCGAACGCAUUUUCUUUCACCGUAGCUUGCUACACCGAAAGAAACUGAGUGGCGAACGGGUGAGUAACACGUGGGCAACCUGCCCAUCAGCGGGGGAUAACACUUGGAAACAGGUGCUAAUACCGCAUAAUUCCAUUUACCGCAUGGUAGAGGGAUGAAAGGCGCUUUUGCGUCACUGAUGGAUGGACCCGCGGUGCAUUAGCUAGUUGGUGGGGUAACGGCCUACCAAGGCUGCGAUGCAUAGCCGACCUGAGAGGGUGAUCGGCCACACUGGGACUGAGACACGGCCCAGACUCCUACGGGAGGCAGCAGUAGGGAAUCUUCGGCAAUGGACGCAAGUCUGACCGAGAAACGCCGCGUGAGUGAAGAAGGUUGUCGGAUCGUAAAACUCUGUUGUUAGAGAAGAACAAGGAUGAGAGUGGAAAGUUCAUCCCUUGACGGUAUCUAACCAGAAAGCCACGGCUAACUACGUG
rnacentral:rRNA from 1 species